AUUGAACGCUGGCGGCAGGCCUAACACAUGCAAGUCGAACGAGUGGCGGACGGGUGAGUAAUGUCUGGGAAACUGCCUGCUGGAGGGGUAUCACUACUGGAAACGGUAGCUAAUACCGCAUACCAUCGGAUGUGCCCAGAUGGGAUUAGCUAGUCGGUGGGGUAAAGGCUCACCUAGGCGACGAUCCCUAGCUGGUCUGAGAGGAUGACAAGCCACACGGGAACUGAGACACGGGCCAGACUCCUACGGGAGGCAGCAGGGGGGAAUAUGGCACAAUGGGCGCAAGACUGAUGCAGCCAUGCCGCGUGGAUGAAGAAGGCCUUCGGGUUGUAAAGUACUUUCAGCGGGGAGGCGGUACCCGCAGAAGAAGCACCGGCUAACUCCGUGCCAGCCGCCGCGGUAAUAC
rnacentral:rRNA from 1 species